rnacentral:rRNA from 1 species
GAUUGAACGCUGGCGGCAGGCCUAACACAUGCAAGUCGAGCGGAUGAAGGGAGCUUGCUCCUGGCUUCAGCGGCGGACGGGUGAGUAAUGCCUAGGAAUCUGCCUGGUAGAGGGGGAUAACGUCCGGAAACGGGCGCUAAUACCGCAUACGUCCUGAGGGAGAAAGUGGGGGAUCUUCGGACCUCACGCUAUCAGAUGAGCCUAGGUCGGAUUAGCUAGUUGGUGGGGUAAAGGCCUACCAAGGCGACGAUCCGUAACUGGUCUGAGAGGAUGAUCAGUCACCCUGGAACUGAGACACGGUCCAGACUCCUACGGGAGGCAGCAGCGGGGAAUAUUGGACAAUGGGCGAAAGCCUGAUCCAGCCAUGCCGCGUGUGUGAAGAAGGUCUUCGGAUUGUAAAGCACUUUAAGUUGGGAGGAAGGGCAGUAAGUUAAUACCUUGCUGUUUUGACGUUACCAACAGAAUAAGCACCGGCUAACUUCGUG